UACGAAGGGGGCUAGCGUUGCUCGGAAUGACUGGGCGUAAAGGGCGCGUAGGCGGAUGGCACAGUCAGAUGUGAAAUUCCCGGGCUUAACCUGGGGGCUGCAUUUGAUACGUGUGAUCUGGAGUGAGGAAGAGGGUCGUGGAAUUCCCAGUGUAGAGGUGAAAUUCGUAGAUAUUGGGAAGAACACCGGUGGCGAAGGCGGCGACCUGGUACUUGACUGACGCUGAGAAGCGAAAGCAUGGGGAGCGAACAGG
rnacentral:rRNA from 1 species